rnacentral:rRNA from 1 species
GACGGGGGAUGCAAGUGUUAUCCGGAAUCACUGGGCGUAAAGCGUCUGUAGGUGGUUUAAUAAGUCAACUGUUAAAUCUUGAGGCUUAACCUCGAAAUCGCAGUCGAAACUAUUAGACUCGAGUAUAGUAGGGGUAAAGGGAAUUUCCAGUGGAGCGGUGAAAUGCGUAGAUAUUGGAAAGAACACCAAUGGCGAAGGCACUUUACUGGGCUAUUACUAACACUGAGAGACGAAAGCUAGGGUAGCAAAUGGG